rnacentral:rRNA from 1 species
UACGAAGGGGGGCUAGCGUUGCUCGGAAUGACUGGGCGUAAAGGGCGCGUAGGCGGCUUGCACCGUCAGAUGUGAAAUUCCUGGGCUUAACCUGGGGGCUGCAUUUGAUACGUGUGGGCUUGAGUGCGGAAGAGGGUCGUGGAAUUCCCAGUGUAGAGGUGAAAUUCGUAGAUAUUCGGAAGAACACCAGUGGCGAAGGCGGCUCACUGGACUGGUAUUGACGCUGAGGUGCGAAAGCGUGGGGAGCAAACAGG